rnacentral:rRNA from 1 species
GACGAACGCUGGCGGCGUGCUUAACACAUGCAAGUCGAACGGAAAGGCCCUGCUUUUGUGGGGUGCUCGAGUGGCGAACGGGUGAGUAACACGUGAGUAACCUGCCCUUGACUUUGGGAUAACUUCAGGAAACUGGGGCUAAUACCGGAUAGGAGCUCCUGCUGCAUGGUGGGGGUUGGAAAGUUUCGGCGGUUGGGGAUGGACUCGCGGCUUAUCAGCUUGUUGGCGGGGUAGUGGCUUACCGAGGCUUUGACGGGUAGCCGGCCUGAGAGGGUGACCGGCCACAUUGGGACUGAGAUACGGCCCAGACUCCUACGGGAGGCAGCAGUGGGGAAUAUUGCACAAUGGGCGGAAGCCUGAUGCAGCAACGCCGCGUGCGGGAUGACGGCCUUCGGGUUGUAAACCGCUUUCGCCUGUGACGAAGCGUGAGUGACGGUAAUGGGUAAAGAAGCACCGGCUAACUACGUG